rnacentral:rRNA from 1 species
GACGAACCGAGCGAACGUUGUUCGGAAUCACUGGGCUUAAAGGGCGCGUAGGCGGGUGCUCAAGGCCGGGGUGAAAUCCCACAGCUCAACUGUGGAACUGCCUCGGAUACUGGGUGCCUCGAGGGUGGUAGGGGUAUGCGGAACUAUCGGUGGAGCGGUGAAAUGCGUUGAUAUCGAUAGGAACUCCGGUGGCGAAGGCGGCAUACUGGACCACAUCUGACGCUGAGGCGCGAAAGCCAGGGGAGCAAACGGG